rnacentral:rRNA from 1 species
UUAAGAAUCUUGCGCAAUGGGGGAAACCCUGACGCAGCGACGCCGCGUGGACGAUGAAGGCCUUCGGGUUGUAAAGUCCAAUAAGCGGGGAAGAAUAUGCAACGGGUAAUAUUCGAUGUGAUGACGGUAUCUGCCUAAAGCGCCGGCUAACUACGUGCCAGCAGCCGCGGUAUUACGUAUGGGGCAAGCGUUGUUCGGAAUUAUUGGGCGUAAAGGGCGUCUAGGCGGGGUAUUAAGUUAGUUGUGAAAUCCCUGGGCUCAACCCAGGAACUGCAUCUAAAACUGGUUCUCUUGAGUUCGGGAGAGGAUGGCGGAAUUCCCGGUGUAGCGGUGAAAUGCGUAGAUAUCGGGAAGAACACCAGUGGCGAAGGCGGCUCUCUGGCCUAGAACUGACGCUGAAGCGCGAAAGCGUGGGGAGCGAACG